rnacentral:rRNA from 1 species
GGGGAAUAUUGCACAAUGGAGGAAACUCUGAUGCAGCGACGCCGCGUGAACGAUGAAGGCCUUCGGGUCGUAAAGUUCUGUCCUAGGGGACGAUAAUGACGGUACCCUAGGAGGAAGCCCCGGCUAACUACGUGCCAGCAGCCGCGGUAAUACGUAGGGGGCGAGCGUUGUCCGGAAUUAUUGGGCGUAAAGGGUUCGUAGGCGGUCUUUUAAGUCAGAUGUGAAAGGUCACGGCUCAACCGUGGUAAGCAUUUGAAACUGAGAGACUUGAGUUAAGGAGAGGAAAGUGGAAUUCCUAGUGUAGCGGUGAAAUGCGUAGAUAUUAGGAGGAAUACCAGUGGCGAAGGCGACUUUCUGGACUUAAACUGACGCUGAGGAACGAAAGCGUGGGGAGCAAAC